UCGGUACAGAAAGUUUCAGGAAAGAGGCAAAGUCAAUCACCCAAAGCAGAACAAUCUUGAGGGUGAGUUUAAUAAAAUAAAAAUAAUUCUUCCUUUAAAAAAAUCACAUCAUUUGCCACACAUUUUAAGGCACAGAAAUAUUGCAUAACUCCUAACCGCCGAGCGAGCUAGGAAUACUGUAUCCCUUUAUUCUCCAAGUUUAAUAGUUAUAAUUAGAACCUUUCCUAUACGGUUUCUAUAUCUACAUGUAAUUCUAAAAAAAUCCCUCUUGUCUUUCCCAAUAAACUGAAGCAUUGUUAUGCAGCCUGAAGUGAAACAAUUAAAGUGAGAAAUGGAGACGCUGGUUUUUGAAGAGGGGUAGGGUUUUUUCAGCUUUGGUUUUGUUUUUUGGUGGGUUUUUUUUGAGGCAGAAAAAAUUCUCCAACUUGCAAUGUUCUCACUUGGCAUCAAUUUUGUCUUCACGGCGCUGCUGUCCACGCUCGGGGAGCCUCUGGAGGAGGAGGGUGACUACAAACAACCGAGAUGGAGCUAGUUAUGGAGAGCAGUGAACACAUGGAGCACACUCCCACACGGCCAAGCCUUGCACAGGAAAACAAAUCAUCACAGUGGUAUCAAAGGAAACUUUUCCAAGCUGUUGACAUACAGCAAAGGGACAGUCUCAGAUAAGUCAGCAUUUAAUCGUCUCAGACCAUGGCACUGUGCUUUGUGUGCACGCUUUGCUUCUCCUAAUGACGUUGGGCAAUCCCGGAGUAUGAGCGCCAGAAGUACCUGCCAGCUUUCAUGGCAAUGACAACCUGGAGUCACCAUCCCACCAGUACACCCAUGGGAUAUCACUGGGAGAGCACGCUCACGGAGGGCAGCGUGUGAAGUGCUGUCACCAAUAAUCAAGAAAAUCCAGGGGGAAAAAGAAAUGAACCCAGCACAAUACAUGUGAGUAACUCCGCCAGGCAAAUCUCUCUACCCAGAACAAGCCAAGAUUCAUUUCUGGCCAAAAUUCCUGCACUAACACUAACCGCCGCUUAAUUAAGUGAUUUUUCCUGAGAUCAUGAUGCAAGUCAUUGUCAGAGAAAGGGUUUAUGCAGAGCUGCUGGAGCCCCACGUGCCUGCUGAACGCUGGAGCCAUCAACGACCCAACCCACCGCACGAGCCUUCAGGCCUGUCACCUGCAGUCAGCUCCCCCGUUGGAAAAACAUGCAAUUUUCCAAAGCCCUUUACGUGGAAACUUGGGCUCUUCUCCGCUGCCUGAAGUGUUGAAGGAUUUCUAAACAGCCUUGGCUCAUUGUUUGCUCUGCACGUUGCCAUCCCACGAGUGAGCAACUGAUGGUGUCUCUGGUACAAAGUCUCACCAGGGUGAGAGAAAAGCAACUAUUAAUGUGAUAAGCUGGGUCUUAAUUUGUCAAAGAUGGAGAUUUUUCCAAGCCCUGCAGUCCACGCUGAAGACUGGUCAACGUGUUGGAUGCACGUACCCAGAUUUCCCUCCAAACCAAGAAACACAGUUCACUGAACAAUGAGGAAACUCCUCCUGAUGCUGUCCUCUCUGAUUUGACCUACAUUUCAGUAACCCAGGAAAUAGGAAAUGCCAGCAGUGCACAUAGAGGAGUUAAAUAUGCCCUUGGUUACCAACAUGCAAACGAAGAGGGAGCCCAUCUACAUCAGAGUGAAAAACGAGCCUGUGAAAAUAAGAUGAACCUGAAACUGGAAGAGGACCCAUCAGGAAUAUCAUCACCUUCUGCCACAUUUGACCAAUUUAUGUUCCUAUCUCAGUCAGUGGGACUUUUGCUCCUAAAUCACCUGGGGUAGGGUUUUAAAAGAUGUUAGGUAUGACAAGGUGCAGAGAGGAAACUUGUAAAACAUUUGAAAUUUGCACUUUUAUUUCCUCUUCCAUAGCUGGAUUUAUAAAUUAUGUUCAAAAGCUAGAGGUUAUACCUCUGUAUUAUAGAUGUAUCCAGCUUGUGCCACCGGAUAAUAAAGUUAAAUAUGUUUAUAA